rnacentral:rRNA from 1 species
CGAACGGAUGAGUAACACGUGAGGAACCUGCCCUGAAGACUGGGAUAACCCCGGGAAACCGGAGCUAAUACCGGAUGUCUUCCUCUGAUCGCAUGGUUGGAAGAAGAAACGAAUUUUGCUUCAGGAGGGUCUCGCGGCCUAUCAGCUUGUUGGUGGGGUAAUGGCCUACCAAGGCGACGACGGGUAGCUGGUCUGAGAGGACGACCAGCCACACUGGGACUGAGACACGGCCCAG